UGUCGCACGAAAAACACUAAACUUCCCCCACGCUCUGUAAAUUCAUUCCAUACUAUGUCUUGGUCACGACAGAGGUCCUGAUGAAAACUAUUUUCCUGCGUUUCUGCUCGCCUAUACAGAUGGAGACUUUUGAAGAUAUUCUAAAAUGGGUGGACAACGAUUUUUCAGCGGACAGCCCCCCAGCAAGGAUAUGUGCUGCAUUAUGGACUGAACGACUUUGGAGGAGCCGAUAAAACAGACAGUAUUCUGCCGUUUUGUAUGAACGGUUUUCCAAACAAUCAAAGAACCGAGGCUAUAACCAGCAGAUCCACACCCCCGGGAACCUCAAGCCAAUCGCUCCAUAAUCUGGCAUUUACUACGCUUCAUAGUCCUUCACGACUCCUCACAACUGUGGCCCAAGUGCAUUGCGCAGAAUCACCCCGUCCCGAGAAGGGCUACAGGGCUGAAAACGUACGGAUUCAUGAACCGGCGCUCUAUGGAUACGGUAUGACCCCAUUAUACAUUUGUUAUUAGUUAUACAUUUUUUAUUAGUUAUACAUUUUUUGAUAGAAUAUGUUAAAACAAUGUCACUCCAACGAUACACGCCCGGCAGAAUCUGCAAAGCCAGGUGAAAAAAGUAUAGCGCCCUUGGUAUCCACGAUUCAUCAGAACAGCCUGCGUCAAAAAAACAGAGACCCAGCGUAUACAGGCACAGAAGGCCCAGGAUCGAGAGCACUGGAGGAUUUCGUCGCCCAGGACAUCCACAGUAAAACACUGAAACCGGAUGAUUUCAACGCUUUAAAUGACAAUUCUGAGCUCGACGAUAUGCUGUUGUACGAAGCUGCCAACCAUCUUGAUACAGUGAAUUUUCUGAGGUAGAAACACCAGAUAGGUUUCUCACAGCCUUUUACAGGGCUCUAUACAAUCCAGAAAGGUCUUGCUACACAAACAAAUGGUGGCUUUACACAAGCGGCAAAACAGUCAAGAUCUAUCUUUCUGACAUAGAACAAUGCCCCAUUUGUUAAACAACAAUAUGGUUAAAAAACACAAAUACAAGCGCUAAAAACCUUUAUGUAACAUGGAUCCUUCCAGAAUACCACAAGAACACACAUCCUUAAUUAACCAAUUGAAUGAGACCGGGGCGACAGAUCCCAAAAUUCAGACACUUGAAAACCUGUUAUUGCAGAUUCGAAGAACUCCUAUCCUUAAUUAACAAAAUGAAUGAGAGCACAAGAUCUUCGACCCCAGAACACCCACACACCCCUCCUUUAACUCCCAUGUCCGAGGAGUCUGAACCACAAUACGUUGUUUUUGAGGAAUUGGAAAAUUGUAUAAUAAAUCAGGGGGGCGAUGGUCUUGAUUGAAGUGUUUGGGUUGUGUACCGAAAUAAAUUCAGCAAUGCAGAGAUUCGACAGGUUUUUUAACUGCACAUGGCUGAAUCAGAACCUUGAUUAUGCAGUUUUAUAUGUGAUGAUAUUAGAUACUCUGAACGAACUGUUAGAUGUCCUCGAGAUGUCCUCGUGAUGUCUUACAGCUUGAAAUUUGUGGAGAUAGCAUGCAAAACACUGUAUCUCUUGUUUUACCCAAUGGCGCAGCAGAUCUUGAACAAUUUAUAGCCCUGCUGGAACGACUUGUUCAAUCAAAUUUGUCUAUCAUAGCUGAUAGAACCCUCGAGCUCGUAGUACAUCAACUCCUAGGUGGAGGGGGUCAGAGAAGGAAACUUGAUAGUCUCAUGCAAUCAGAAAUCAUAAGCAAUAGAAGGGCAUAUCUCAGAAACGGUUACAAUCCUGGUGAUCAGCUAUGCUUUGCAAUAGGCCUAGCACAUUUACUCAACCCUGGAUGUACUGAUCUAGAGGCUUUACAAAACGCUCGGGAGCUUCAUAAUGCCGUGGGUCUAGGUAUACAGGAUGCUGUGGCUUUCUCUGACAUAGUCAAAUUUGAAAAAUUUCUGAACAUCAAGAUUGUGGUUUUGUACCACAGUGGCGAAUUUGCCAAUCUUGGUGUUCUCUGGCAAAUGCCAAACGUCCUGCACGGUGUUGGGCUGUAAGCACAACCCCCACCUGUGGACGUCGGGCCCUCAUACCACCCUCAUGGAGUCUGUUUCUGACCGUUUGAGCAGACACAUGCACAUUUGUGGCCUGCUGGAGGUCAUUUUGCAGGGCUCUGGCAGUGCUCCUCCUGCUCAAAGGCGGAGGUAGCGGUCCUGCUGCUGGGUAGUUGCCCUCCUACGGCCUCCUCCACGUCUCCUGAUGUACUGGCCUGUCUCCUGGUAGCGCCUCCAUGCUCUGGACACUACGCUGACAGACACAGCAAACCUUCUUGCCACAGCUUGCAUUGAUGUGCCAUCCUGGAUGAGUUGCACUACCUGAGCCACUUGUGUGGGUUGUAGACUCCGUCUCAUGCUACCACUAGAGUGAAAGCACCGCCAGCAUUCAAAAGUGACCAAAACAUCAGCCAGGAAGCAUAGGAACUGAGAAGUGGUCUGUGGUCACCACCUGCAGAACCACUCCUUUAUUGUGUGUCUUGUGUCUUGCUAAUUGCCUAUAGUUUCCACCUGUUGUCUAUCCCAUUUGCACAACAGCAUGUGAAAUUUAAUGUCAAUCAGUGUUGCUUCCAAAGUGGACAAUUUGAUUUCACAGAAGUGUGAUUGACUUGGAGUUACAUUGUGUUGUUUAAGUGUUCCCUUUAUUUUUUUGAGCAGUGUAUAUCAACUCAUACACCCUGUACCAUGGAAUCGGUACAUCAAAAAUCUCUUCCCAACUAUUUUGCAAUCUGUAUGGCAUAGUUCUCAACAUCCUGGUCCUCAAAUGAUACUGGUAUACUUUCCUAUUUAUUCUAUUUUUUAUUCCUCUGCCAGUUUUUAUCCUUUAUAUUGGGCAGACAGACCAGUUCCCUACCUCCUCCCGCUGCCUACUGCGUCCUCCAUUUUUGGGGUAAUGCUGUAAUCAAUUGGUUGUACUCUUGGAUUGAGCAGACCUUCCCGUACAAUUCUGAUAACUCCAUGAAGGACAUAACUCUACCAUUCCAAUUUGCAAUAUCAUUUAAGAACAAAAUACCCUUUUCAAACAUCUUUCCCAUAAAUACAGGUAUUUUAUCAACCAGCACAUUUGAGUUCAGCCAUAAUAUUUGUUGUAAUAUUUGUUCAAUCUUUUCAGGGGGGUGAAAUUUAAAUUGUAGCAAGUUCUGCAAUGCUUGUUUGAAAAACAGAGAUACUUUGAAAAAAAGUAUAAUUUUCAAUUAAUCGAAAAUGAGACAUGGCAAUCUGCACAAAGGCAAAAACUCAUUAAUCGUUUGUUUUAAUCCAUCCCAACGUUUAUGUACCCUUUAUUUAGCAUGUACUACCCUUAGACACGGCAACAUUUAUCUCACCACCGAGUCUAACGAUUUAGUCCCGUAUAUGACUGGUCUCUCUUUUCCCCUGAUUUUCCAUAACCACUGCACUACAUUGCCCUUCAUGUUUAUGAACACACAUUUUAAAAGGUAAUUUUAGGUUUGGCAACCCCAAUGCUGGAGCCUGACACAAUUGCUUUUUCAAAACUCUACAAACAAUUACUCACAAUAUUAACUCCACUCUAAUUACUCGUGACUCCUCCCUUUCGUCAAUUCUAUAAAUCUAUUUCAGAAUAAGACAAGAAAAAUGUACAAUGAGAUUACAACCCCUAGGGUUUUCCUGAGUCUGCGGGGAGUUUUUGGUCGUACCAAAGAACGCGUUAUUCCUAUUCUAUCAUGUGUAACGUGCUUUCCAAAAUCGAAACCCCCAAAUAUGUUCUCUUGUUUCGCUGGUUGUACUUUCCCAUAUGAUGCUUUGUGACCAAGCCCACACAAUAUACCAAGCCCACACAAUAGAACCGAAAUACAUGCAACAAACAUGCACAAAACCAUGGUGUAACGGUGUUCCUCCUACUCUUCAUCCGAAGAGGAGGAGCAUGGAUUGAACCAAGGCGCAGCGUUUUGAAAUGACAUAAUUUUAAUUAAACAAGAUGGGAAAAACACGAAACGAAACCACUUGAAAUAAUUAACAAAAUAACAAAACGAAUGUAGACAAACCUGAACAUACGAACUUACAUAAAACACGAAGAACGCACAACAGGAAAAAUGACUACAUAAAACGAAGAACGCACGAAACAGUCCCGUAUGGUGCAACAAACACUAACACAGGAGACAACCACCCACAACGAACACUGUGAAACAGCCUACCUAAAUAUGACUCUCAAUUAGAGUAACGCCAAACACCUGCCUCUAAUUGAGAGCCAUACCAGGCAACCCUAAACCAACAUAGAAACAGAAAGAAAGAAUGCCCACCCAAACUCACGUCCUGGCCAACUAACACAUACAACAAACUAACAGAAAUAGGUCAGGAACGUGACACAUGGGGAAAACAGAGGGUUAAAUAAUGAACAUGUAAUUGGGGAAUUGAAACCAGGUGUGUAAAACAAAGACAAAACAAAUGGAAAAUGAAAAGUGGAUCGGCGAUGGCUAGAAGGCCGGUGACGUCGACUGCUGAACACCGCCCGAAUAAGGAGAGGGACCGACUUUGGCGGAAGUCGUGACAAAUUCAGUAAUUGUUGUUGUCCCGCUUUACCAACCAUAGCUAGCUAAAGUUGGACAACAUGGAGUAGCUAAAGUGGGACAGUCUUAUAGGCUUUUCCAAUAGAGGAACGAGAUCCAGUUUACAUUAGCAAUCCCCUGCACUUAGGUUUGUCAGGGCUUAGACCAAGAUGUACUCUUAAGGAGCCUACCGUUACUCCUUAAGGUCUAGGAUCUUAUGUUAUUUUCAGAGGUAGACUGACUCUGGCAGCCAAAAUAACCAAAUACUCCAUCUAAACGUGAACCGAUUCUCAAUUGUGAUGCGGUUCUAGAAACAUCAACAUCAUUUCACAAACGCAAAAAUAUAUACUUACUGUACACUGUUUUAACCGGCUUUAUCACAUUUGCAGCCGACAGUAUUUUUCAGGAUAACACAUUUUCAACACAUCCACGGUUUUCUUCCGUUACACACAAGUGUUCGGAGCAUGCUAGAUAGCUGACAGUUUAUCCCUCUAUCUUCCAUCUGUCUUUUGUAAACAAACCACAAUCAUGGGCAUUAAUAUGGAGUUGGUUCCUCUUUGCUGCUACAACAGCUUCGACUCUUCUGAGAAGGCUUUCUACUCGAUGUUGGAACAUUGCUGCAGGGACUUGCUUCCAUUCAACCACGAGCAUUAGUGAGAUCCGGCACUUCUGUUGGUCGAUCAGGCCUGGCUCGAUGGGGUUCUUCCACAUCGAUCUCGACCAACCAUUUUGUAUGGACUUCACUUUGUGCACAAGGGCAUUUUCAUGCUGCAACAGGAAAGGGCCUUCCCCAAACUAUUGCCACAAAGUUGGAAGCACAGAACCGACUAGAAUGUCAUUGUUUUUGUCAUCUUCCAUUGUCAUUGAGGCGGUAGGUAGCCUAGUGGUUAGAGCAUUGGGCCAGUAACCGAAAGGUUGGUGGAUUGAAUCGCCGAGCUGCCAAGGUCAAAAUCUGUCAUUCUGCCCCUGAACAAGGCAGUUAAUCCACUGUUCCUAGGCCAUCACUGUAAAUAAGGAUUUGUUCUUAACUGACUUGCCUAGUUAAGUAAAGGUAAAAUAAAGCAAUUGUAUGCUGUAGCGUUAAGAUUUCCCUUCACAGAACUAAGGGGUCUAGCACGAAGCAAGAAAAACAGCCCCAAACCAUUAUUCCUCAUUUACCAAACCUUACAAUUGGCGCUAUGCAUUCGUGCAGGUAGUGUUCUCCUGGCAUCCGCCAAACCCAGAUUCGUCCGUCGGACUGCCAGAUGGAGAAGAGUGAUUCAUCACUCCAGAGAACGCUUAUACACUGCUCCGGAGUCCAAUGGCAGCGAGCUUUACACCACUCCAGCCGACAGUUGGCUUUGAGCAUGGUGAUCUUAGGUUUGUGUGCAGCUGCUCGGCCAUGGAAACCCAUUUCAUGAAGCUCUCGGCGUACAGUUACUGUGCUGACAUUGCUUCCAGUGGCAGUUUGGAACUCGGUAGUGAGUGUUGCAACAGAGGACAGACGAGUUUUACGCGUUACACGCUUCAGCACUCGGCGGUCACGUUCUGUAAGCUUGUGAGGCCUACCACGUUGCAGCUGAGCCGUUGCUGCUCCGAGACGUUUCCACUUCACAAUAAGAGCACUUACAUUUGACCAGGGCAGCUCUAACAGGGCAGAAAUUUGACGGACUGACUUGUUGGAAAGGUGGCAUCCUAUUGCCAAUAUUUGUCAAUGUAGAUUGCAUGGCUGUGUGCUCGAUUUUAUACACCUGUUAGCCACGGGUGUGGCUGAAAUCGCAAAAAUCCACUAACUUGAAGGGGUGUCCACAUACUUUUGUAAAUAGAGUGUAUCAUGUGUAUCAAUAUGUUGGAAUGAUGUCGAAAGAGGUUACAGAAGACGGAAAUGCACAGUUUCUCACUUUUUCUGAAUUCACCCUAGUUAAACUAGUAAUUACACUUCAUGUUGCAGUAGCUUGGUGGUAGUGUUGUCAGUACUUCAUUCGUUUUUUUCCAUGUAGUGGUGCUAAUUCCUGGAACUACACACUACUUUUUUGCAAAAAGUAAAGGAAAUAUGGUUGUAGGGGAGAAUUUCAUUUAUUUUUCAGCAUCAGACCUGCCUAGUUCUCACUUGAAACAGUUUUUGGGGAUACAUUGCCUUCAGAAAGUAUUCACAAUACUUGACUUUUUCCACAUUUUGUUGUUCAAAUGGAUUUAAUUGUAUUUUUUGUCAAAGAUCCACACAAAUUACUCUAAUGUCAAAGUGGAAGAAAAAUGUUAACAUUUGUAAAAUAAAAUAUUAAAAAUAAAACACUAAUAUAUCUUGAUUAGAUAGGACCUUAAACCACUGAGUCAAUAUAUUUUAGAAUCACCUAUGGCAGUGAUUACAGUUGUGAGUCUUUCUGGGUACAUUUCUAAGAGCUUCUUUUCAAAAUUCUUCAAGCUCUGUCAAAUUGUUUGUUGAUCAUUGCAAGACAACCAUUUUCAGGUUUUGCCAUAGAUUUUCAAGAAGAUUUAAGUCAAAAAUGUAACUCGGCCACUCACUGUCUUCUUGGUAAGCAACUCCAGUGUAGGUUAUUCUCCUGCUGAAAGGUGAAUUCCUCUCCCACUGUCUGUUGGAAAGCGGACUGAACCACGUUUCCCUCUAGAAUUUUGCCUGUGCUUAGCUCUAUUCCGUUUCUUUUUAUCCUGAAAACCCUCCAGUCCUUAACGAUUACAAGCAUACCCAUAACUUGAUGCAGCCACCAUUAUGCUUGAACAUAUGGAGAGUGGUACUCAGUAAUAUGUUGUAUUGGAUUUGCCCCAAACAUAACACUUAAUUAAUUGCUUUGCCACAUUUUUUGCAGUAUUACUUUAGUGAUUUUUUGCAAACAAGAUAAAUGUUUUGGAAUAUGUGUAUUUUGUUCCUUCUUUUCAUCUGUCAAUUAGGUUAGUAUUGUGGAGUAACUACAAUGUUGUUGAUCCAUCCUUAGUUAUCUCCUACCAUAGCCAUUAAACUCUGUAACUGUUUCAAAGUAA